rnacentral:lncRNA from 1 species
GUACCUCACAGGGCUGGGAGCACCCAAUGAGGUUUCUUCCUGCCAAUGGUGUGCCAGGACCUGUUAUGAAAGCAGGGAGCGUCAGUGGUGAUCACCAAACAUAGCCUCGGGGGUGACUUGGUGAAAAGAAGGGUUUUCUGGAUGUUGGGGUCUCAGGGACUCCCUCAGGGAGCUGAUCUCAGAACUUUUCUAGACCUGUCGCUAGCAUUCUGCUUCACCUGAUUAAUCCUAAUCAUCCAACCUGUUCCAAACAACUCUGCUCUGCUGUGAUGUCCUC